rnacentral:rRNA from 1 species
AGCAGCCGCGGUAAUUCCAGCGUCCAAUAGCGUAUAUUAAAGUUGUUGCAGUUAAAGAGCUCGUAGUUGAAUUUCGGGGUCAGCAAGUUGGUCGUGCCACUGGUAUGCACUGGCUUUGCUGAUUCCUCCUUCUUGUAGAACCGUAAUGCCAUUAAGUUGGUGUUACGGGGAAACAGGACUGUUACUUUGAAAAAAUUAGAGUGUUUAAAGCAGGCUAACGCUUGAAUACAUUAGCAUGG